AGUGAACGCUGGCGGCAGGCCUAACACAUGCAAGUCGAGCGGCAGCGGGUCCCCGCGAGGGGAUGCCGGCGAGCGGCGGACGGGUGAGGAACACAUCGGAAUCUGCCUGGUUGUGGGGGAUAACGUAGGGAAACUUACGCUAAUACCGCAUGCGACCCUGAGUCGACGGACUGGGGGUGAAAGUGAGGGACCUUCGGGCCUCACGCGACCAGAUGAGCCGAUGUCGGAUAGCUAGUUGGCGGGGUAACGCCGCCAAGGCGACGAUCCGUAGCUGGUCUGAGAGGAUGAUCAGCCACA
rnacentral:rRNA from 1 species